UACGUAGGGGGCAAGCGUUGGUCCGGAUUUAUUGGGCGUAAAGAGCGUGUAGGCGGCCAGGUAGGUCCGUUGUGAAAACUCGAGGCUCAACCUCGAGACGCCGAUGGAAACCAUCUGGCUAGAGUCCGGAAGGAGGAGAGUGGAAUUCCCGGUGUAGCGGUGAAAUGCGCAGAUAUCGGGAAGAACACCCGUGGCUAAGGCGGCUAGCUCUAGUACCGGUACGUGACGCUGAGACGCGGAAAGCGUGGGGAGCGAACAGG
rnacentral:rRNA from 1 species